ensembl:lncRNA
GUUUAUUUAAAAAAUGAAAUAUAUAGAAAUUAAAUGUUUUAUGGCACCUACUUAUAACAAUCAAGGUAAUAAUCUAAUUGCAGCCCCCUCCCUCCAAAAAAAAAGUCAGUAGAUCUUCUAUGCUCCCUGCAAGCUCGGUUGGAAAGUGAAGCAAUUAUCUGGAUAAUUCAGUCCAAAAAAAAAAAGUAUUAAAGGAGUAGUGGGGGUGGGCUUUUCCUGUCCCCAAUUCACUGGAGCCAUCCACUAACAUGACCCACUGUGGUGGAAUUUGGCAUUAAAAAGGCUUGUGUUGGACCCUGUCCAGUGGCGUUUAGUUACUGGAUUCUUUGAAGGACAUUGUGCAAACAUGGUCUCCCAUGUAACUUGGGUCUAAGACCUGGGUUUUAAGAACCUUGAUCUUACCACGCAGCUCCGCUGGAUCGAAUUAUCCAGACGCUUCCAUCAUCCCACUUCCUGUUGCCGGGUUUAACAAUGACAGUGUGUAUUGCCACCACUUCCGCGUGAAUGCUUGGAUCCUGCAAGCAGAAACAGCUGGGUGAAAGGUGGCCGCCCUUUGCUGCUGACUCUUCGCUCUCUAGCCCGAGCAUCUGCACUGAGUCGCUGGGAUAAUUGUGUUGAUUUGACUAAUGGUAGAAACGAAGGUGGGAUGGCUCCCCAUCUCAAACCCGGAGUCCUGCUUUUUCUGCAAGAGCAACCAUGCUGGGGAAAUAGCAGCAUCGCUUCUGUUUGAUCUGCUCGUGCUUCCUAACCACGCCUAAGCAGAGGCUUCUGUAAAAGGACCCUGAACCAACUAGGAUUGCCUCAUGUCUCAAUCUCCAACCACCACCCCCCCAUCUCUCAUUUAAGGGAGGGUACUUCAAAGUGAAUGAGGCUAUUCUCAAUUCUUCAUAUCUUAAGAAGAAGGAGGAGAGAAGGAAAGAAGGAAGGAAGGGAGGAAGGAAGGAAGGAAGGAAGGAAGGAAGGAAGAAAAGGAAGAAAAGGAAGAAAGGAAGGAAUUAGUGGGGCUGAUCAUUAAAAAAAAAAACCAGCUGUCUUGACUGUGAUUACUGCCAUGAGUGGGACGCAUGGGGUCACCCUCCAGCACUUUCUGUAGCUUUGGUGCAGAUGAUGAUAUCUUGGGGGAGUGAGAGACUUGGACCGGUACUCAGACUGUCUCUAGGUAACCACUGCAGAUUUCCCUCAAAGCACACAAUAGAUAAGGAGCUGUUUCCCUAGCUGUCUAACUGCCUGUGGUUGACAGGAGCCCCUGCGAAGCAUUUGGGGUAAUUUAGUUAAAGAUGGAUAUCAGAAUGCUGGUGGUAAGGGAGGAAUUCCUGCCCCAGAUGACUUGCUGCUUUCUUCAAUGAAGUUCAAGGGUAGAGACGAACCAUCUUCCUGUUUUCCAUUAGCAGUAGGACUAGAGCACUCAGCUGAACUCCAGAAUGCAGGGUCAGGAAGAGACUCCUAAUUGCUCUAGUCUUAGUUGGGCUUAAGUGAUAUCUCUGCCCUUCUGGCCGCACAUUCAGUCUGUCUCUCUGCAGAGUCACAUAGCUGAAUCACGACACCCCAAGUGAGAAAACAAUGUCUUCAGACAGUGGGAGAUAAGGAGAGAGAGGAGAGUCCCGGGGCAUAGUGGUGUGCAUGUUGAUAUCACUGAGUUAUGAACUAUUUCCUUUUAAUCUGGUUUCAAAAGAUGACUUCCUCCAUAUGUGAUUAAUUCCACAUAGAACUACAAGGAACUGCAUAUUUUAGAACUGUAGUGCCAUCAGUACGAAUGUUUAAACAAUCUCUGUGGUCUCUUUCCCACAAACUGAUUUAACAUGUAUAUAAAAAGGCUUUUGGAAUGAGCACUUUACAUUUGCUUCUCAAACUUCAGCGUCUGUUUUCAGUAAAUAUUGAAGACGAAACUUCCCUCAUUCAUGCCUGCAGCACUGGCCAAUUGCAACUGAGGAAUGCAGUUUCAGGACUUCUCCUGAAUGCAAAGUUCUUCAUUGUGAACUUUGUUGUUUUUUUUCCAACCAGAUCAACCAGACCACCGCAGACAGUGUUCACGGUCAUGCUGCUGACCUAGUCAUGGUUCUCUUAAUCAAUAUGAAAACAGAGGGAGUCACAGAGGCCAGAGUUCAAAUCUUCAUUCCAACAUUUACAUCUGAAGUGACCACAUAUCCUGGCCAGCAGUGACCCCAGUUCACUGCUCUGAUGUAUAUAAUCAAAUGUAUAUAUGAUUGCCUACUACUAAAUCAGCUGAGGUCUCUAUCAUCCUGCUUGCAUUUGGGGGAGGGAUGUUUUGUUUUUGGUUUGUCUUUUUGUUUUGUUUUCUUUGUUUGGUUUUUUGAGACAGG